UUGAUAGAAUUAAACAAACUGAAAAGAUAAGAUAAGGGAGGCUCAGGGCCUGCGAACGCCAGCAAACUACCUCGGAGUCUCUGGACUGAAGGAUCACUCCCGAACUAUAGUUGUGGUCUGUAGAUUGGGUCCUGACCUGUGCACAAAAAGGGCACAGAAGCGUAGUAUCAGCACAACCGACCCCAUGUGCUGGUAAGUGUCCGACCUAACCUCAGUGAGGU
rnacentral:lncRNA from 1 species